rnacentral:rRNA from 1 species
ACAAGGUUUCCGUAGGUGAACCUGCGGAAGGAUCAUUAACGAGUAAAGUCGCAAGACUUUCUUUCAUCCAACACCUGUGAAUUUAAAUUUUAUCUUGCUUUGGCUGGACAGUUAAAUGUUCGGCCAACAAUCAAAACCUAAUAAUUUGUUGUCUGAGUGAAGAAUAUUAAAAUUCAAAACUUUCAACAACAGGAUCUCUUGGUUCUCGCAUCGAUGAAGAACGCAGCGAAACGCGAUAUGUAAUGUGAAUUGCAGAAUUUUGUGAAUCAUCGAAUCUUUGAACGCACAUUGCGCCUCUGGUAUUCCGGAGGGCAUACUUGUUUGAGCGUCAUUUCUUUCUCAAACUUUAUGUUUGGUGUUGACUCGCUACAAUGAAAAUUGUAUGAGUUGAAAUACAUUGGCUAAGCAUUUCAAUUUAGUAUUUUACAACGUAUUAGGUUUUACCAACUCGUUGGAUUUUGAUACGCAUUUGAAAAAGGCUGGGCGAUAGAACAGAAAUUAUAAAUUUGAC